rnacentral:rRNA from 1 species
GAUGAACGCUGGCGGCGUGCCUAACACAUGCAAGUCGAGCGAUUUACUUCGGUAAAGAGCGGCGGACGGGUGAGUAACGCGUGGGUAACCUGCCCUGUACACACGGAUAACAUACCGAAAGGUAUGCUAAUACGAGAUAAUAUGCUUUUAUCGCAUGGUAGAAGUAUCAGAGCUUUUGCGGUACAGGAUGGACCCGCGUCGGAUUAGCUAGUUGGUAAGGUAACGGCUUACCAAGGCGACGAUCAGUAGCCGACCUGAGAGGGUGAUCGGCCACAUUGGAACUGAGACACGGUCCAAACUCCUACGGGAGGCAGCAGUGGGGAAUAUUGCACAAUGGGCGAAAGCCUGAUGCAGCAACGCCGCGUGAGCGAUGAAGGCCUUCGGGUCGUAAAGCUCUGUCCUCAAGGAAGAUAAUGACGGUACUUGAGGAGGAAGCCCCGGCUAACUACGUGCCAGCAGCCGCCGUAACAC